rnacentral:rRNA from 1 species
GAGUUUGAUCAUGGCUCAGAACGAACGCUGGCGGCAGGCUUAACACAUGCAAGUCGAGCGCCCCGCAAGGGGAGCGGCAGACGGGUGAGUAACGCGUGGGAACGUACCCUUUACUACGGAACAACUCCGGGAAACUGGAGCUAAUACCGUAUGUGCCCUUUGGGGGAAAGAUUUAUCGGUAAAGGAUCGGCCCGCGUUGGAUUAGCUAGUUGGUGGGGUAAAGGCCUACCAAGGCGACGAUCCAUAGCUGGUCUGAGAGGAUGAUCAGCCACAUUGGGACUGAGACACGGCCCAAACUCCUACGGGAGGCAGCAGUGGGGAAUUUUGGACAAUGGGGGCAACCCUGAUCCAGCAAUGCCGCGUGUGUGAAGAAGGCCUUCGGGUUGUAAAGCACUUUUGUCCGGAAAGAAAACGGCCUAGUUAAUACCUGGGCUGGAUGACGGUACCGGAAGAAUAAGCACCGGCUAACUACGUGCCAGCAGCCGCGGUAAUACGUAGGGUGCGAGCGUUAAUCGGAAUUACUGGGCGUAAAGCGUGCGCAGGCGGUUUGCUAAGACCGAUGUGAAAUCCCCGGGCUUAACCUGGGAACUGCAUUGGUGACUGGCAGGCUAGAGUAUGGCAGAGGGAGGUAGAAUUCCACGUGUAGCAGUGAAAUGCGUAGAGAUGUGGAGGAAUACCGAUGGCGAAGGCAGCCUCCUGGGCCAAUACUGACGCUCAUGCACGAAAGCGUGGGGAGCAAACAGGAUUAGAUACCCCUGGUAGUCCACGCCCUAAACGAUGUCAACUAGUUGUUGGGGAUUCAUUUCCUUAGUAACGUAGCUAACGCGUGAAGUUGACCGCCUGGGGAGUACGGUCGCAAGAUUAAAACUCAAAGGAAUUGACGGGGACCCGCACAAGCGGUGGAUGAUGUGGAUUAAUUCGAUGCAACGCGAAAAACCUUACCUACCCUUGACAUGGUCGGAACCCUGCUGAGAGGUGGGGGUGCUCGAAAGAGAACCGGCGCACAGGUGCUGCAUGGCUGUCGUCAGCUCGUGUCGUGAGAUGUUGGGUUAAGUCCCGCAACGAGCGCAACCCUUGUCCUUAGUUGCUACGCAAGAGCACUCUAGGGAGACUGCCGGUGACAAACCGGAGGAAGGUGGGGAUGACGUCAAGUCCUCAUGGCCCUUAUGGGUAGGGCUUCACACGUCAUACAAUGGUCGGAACAGAGGGUUGCCAACCCGCGAGGGGGAGCUAAUCCCAGAAAACCGAUCGUAGUCCGGAUUGCAGUCUGCAACUCGACUGCAUGAAGCUGGAAUCGCUAGUAAUCGCGGAUCAGAAUGUCACGGUGAAUACGUUCCCGGGUCUUGUACACACCGCCCGUCACACCAUGGGAGCGGGUUCUGCCAGAAGUAGUUAGCCUAACCGCAAGGAGGGCGAUUACCACGGCAGGGUUCGUGACUGGGGUGAAGUCGUAACAAGGUAAC